rnacentral:rRNA from 1 species
UACGGAGGGUGCGAGCGUUGUCCGGAAUCACUGGGCGUAAAGGCGCGUAGGCGGCCUGAUAAGUAGGGGGGUGAAAUCCUGCGGCUUAACCGCAGGGCUGCCUUCUAAACUGUCAGGCUAGAGCACAGUAGAGGCAGGUGGAAUUCCCGGUGUAGCGGUGGAAUGCGUAGAGAUCGGGAAGAACAUCAGUGGCGAAGGCGGCCUGCUGGGCUGUUGCGUGGACGCUGAGGCGCCGAGCAGCGUGGGGGAGCAAACAGG